GCUUUGGGGCAUUCCCAGCACAAGAGUGGGGCUUCUUUUAUAUCAGAGCCCAGAAUUAGUCUGGCUUUGUGUUUGGUGGUUAUGUGGUUGUUAACUGUUGUGGGAGUGUGGGAGGUUCUGUAAAAGAAAACCAAGAGAAGGAUCUCGUAACAGCUUUGCUAAAGCCAAACCCAGCAUUGAAGGUUGAGGAGCAGGAGCUGGAUCAAAAUGUUUCAGUAAGAUUUAUAGCAAUGUCAUUUGUAACCUAAAUGCAGGUGUUGCUCUUGUCAUCCAUCUUUAAUGCAGCGUGUCUUUUGUGUGACUGGGAUUCUUAAAGAGGUGCUAGAUAAAUUUCCUGCUUGUCCUGGUUUAGGACAAAUUUGGGAGGAAGCUUCCAAACAGGUCCCUCUAGAAAGCAGAUUCAAGCGGCCCCUUCCCCAGCUGGUUCAGGAAAAUAUUUCCUUGGAGAAAAGUGGAAAAAUUCUGUUUAUUUAACAAGCAAAUUAUUCACAAGCAUAAAAAAUGCAUAAUAUUAAACAAUAAAACCUCUUGCUGUUCUGAAGAGAUGGCAAAUUCAGAAGGUGCUUUUCAUGGGGUGUGGCUCGGCUCCCUCAGUCUCUUCUCCUCCUGCACUGGAAAAUGCUCCAUCCUGGUGGGCUACAGGCAUGAGCUCCUGGUGUUUUUCUGGGUUUUCAGUCCAGAGCAGGACCAGUGAGUUCCAAGAAAAAGAAACACCACAGCCUGGGGAACUUCUCUGCCUCAGCUAGCUAAAAAAGCUGACUAAAGGCAAAGGAGAGCUCUGUCCUGCUGCCCAUGCUGCAGACAACAGUCUGUGAGAGACAAUGCAGGGGAGCAAGUGCAGUUUCUGCAAACAAACUGCACUUCUUCUCCUGCCCUUUGCUCUCAGAACCAGUCUUAAAGGUGCAGAACUCAAUAUCCAGCAUAAACAGAACAGACUACAAACAUCAUAAAGUCACCCUAGGGCAUCACUUCUGCCCAUCCUUCUUCUAGCAGGUGCAUUUUCCACCUGCUGUGCUCCUGGGAGGAUGGUCAAGGCUUGUCCCUGCAGCCUGCUUCUAGCAGGGUAACAGGUGCCAUUCCCUCUCACCCACUGUGCCCUGAUACCUUUCCAUAGCCACCUUCAUUUUGGGCCCUAGUACCUCUCUGGACAGCAACUUAAUGUGAAUUCUGCUGUGCUGUCCUGGUUUCCCAGCCAAGGAUAAUGCCAGGAAAUGGUAGCAAGGAAAACAAGUUGGAUCAGUUUGGUUUUGUAGUAAGAAAGGUGAUGGCAAAACUCUUGUGGGCUCAUGACCAAGACAUCUACUCACCCCAGUUACUGACAGAUAACCUGCCACUUUCCUCAGGCUGCUCUUUCUCCUGGAUAUGCUUUUUGUAUUCAUGUGAUGCAAUGUGGAGAGUGGAGCUCCUGGGAUUUUCAGAGGGUGUUUGGCUUGCUUAUUCUGUUUUGUUUAUGACAGUGUCUUUCUCUGUAUUUUAUGAAAUGCAUGGAACAUUUUUUAAUCUUGUAUUUUUAGCAUUGUUUCAUAGAAUAAAUAUUAUAAUGAAUGACUUUGCUAGACCGAGUGUUGCCUUUUUUAAUUGAACUAAUUGGGUCUGUUUAGCAUUGUGUCAGUUCAGGAUGGGGUGAAAGCAAUGAAGAUAAUCCAGUACCGUAUUUCAGUGUACAGCAUGAUUGUUUUCAGAAUUCCAUUCUAAGCACCUAUAUAUUGAACCUUAAUGCAUGGUUUUAGGUUUAUUCUUUAGGCCCUGCAACUAGACACUCAGUUAGCAAAUGCUAAAAAUGUUGCACAGACACAUAAGACUAUUAAGAGAGGUUAAGUCACACUGAAGUAGAGGUGGGGAGGAUAUGAGAGUUCAUGUUGUGUUGUCCAUGUCCUAUCCUGCCCACUUCAUCCCCACCAUCCAUCCUCUGUAUGUGAAGGUCUGCACUACAGUUUGUCCUGAAAGAUAGUGAUAAAACCAACCCAUAAGUUUGGGGAUUUUUGUUGAUGUUUAAUCCUUACCUGUUCAUUUUCCUGGAUUUUCUGGAGGAAGAAAAAUCCUAGGCCAAAAGUUCAGAACUAUAGUCUGCCAACCUUGAGGUUGGACUUUAUAACAUGAUGAUACCUGAAGUGUAAUGGAUUAUUUUGGGUUAGAAUUAGUCUUACUCAGUCCACUUUCAGAUGUAAACCAUGUCUUGUAAUUAGACAUGUAUUUCAAAUGUUAUGCACAUUCUUAAGUGUCUUUCAGAAUUAGGGAUGUAGAAAACUUGCAGAGCAGUCGUGAUGUGUGACCAGAACAGCUCUGCCCAGCACUUGGUAACGUGACAAAGGCAGGUCUGAUCUCGCCAGAAACACCCUGCUUGCUUUCUUCCCUCUUUGUUUCACAUGCUGUGAUACCAAACAAGGAAGCCUUUCAGCAGAAAGGUUUCUUUUCUGGAGGAAAUGGAGAGUGGGAAUUUCUCAUUGUGGUGAGCAGCAGUUUCUUCUGUUCCUUGUCAUGGUGGCUCCUGCUUCUUGGCUUAGUCAGCUCUUGACAUUACAAGGCUGUGUUUGGCAUGCCUGGCCCCAGCUCUGUGGCACAAAUAGUGGUACCCAUCUUCUGACAGGUUUCUUGUGCUUCAUGCAGAUGGGCAGGAGGUCUGUUACUGCUUCCAUCAUCCUUGAUUGUCUGCAAGCAAAAUCUGUCACACAUAGUUACAGGUCUAACUGCAGCUUUUCCAUCUGCACUGGAUGCUGUAGUCCAUUACAAAAUGUAGGAUUCCCAGCAGCAGUCGUUAAUUAAAGUUCUGUAGCUUCCAUCAUGGAGCAGGUCGUGCUGUGUUAUACAAUUUUUUGCCUUAGCUGGAUUUCUGGGAGUCCUUUGUUUUGAAACUUGAAGUUUAGCAGUUCCCCUUGAAAACCAGCAAGUGUUUGUGGUUCAUGCUUGUUUGCUGCUCUAAUGCUCAUACUCUUCAUCCUUGUUGGAGUGGCUCCUGGGAGUGAUACAGGCAAGUCCUCUGGUCAGGAGUCUCAUCUAGUUCCCUAAAUAGUGUAGGGUGGUAUAGUCUUACCCUCUUUUUGUGUAGGCUGGGUACAGCCUUUGACAUGUUUCUCCUCCAUUGAGUGAGCACAGCUGGUUCUCUCUCACAAGCACUGAAGAAAGGAAAUGAGCCUGGAAAUGCCUCAUUUUCCCACUUACCAUGGAAAUCUAAUCUUCAGCCAGACUCAUUUGGCAAGCUAAAGGGUGAAGAUUAACCUACAUCAGUAAAGAAUUUAGUUUUUCCUGAAGAGCUGGAGAAGGUUUGGGAUCAUAGCUCCAGUCGCUGCUUUCCAAGAAAUUGUAAUCUCUAUAACUACCUAUAAAAUUACUGUUAAUAUAAGAAGUAAAUGUUUGAGACUAGUCUCAAAAUGCAGAGAAAGCAGAGGAAAAGCUGAAAUAAGAACCACAGUCCUUCUCAUUGUGCUCAAGAAUUACAGCAGGGGUGACAGAGGAUAGGCUGAUGUAGAAAUCCCUGUUGGAGGUAAGCAGGGAAAAAUACCAGUUUGUCAGUUCCUGGUCUUUGUGUCACUGAGCAUUAAUUUCUCCAAAAGUUAUGUCAAUAAAUUAAUUUCUUACAUGGCUCCAUUGCGAAUUUGUAUGAGAAAACAUAAGCUUCUAAUCCACAGUGGAACUUGAGGUGUCCCACACUGAACAGCACAUCAGUGGACUAAAAUUCAACUGAUGCUGAUUUGUGGAAUGUACAGAUUUUUGUAUGCAGAUCUAUCAUGGCCUUCCAGUGCCUGAGGGAACCUUCAACAAAGAUGGGGAAGGACAACUGGCAAGGGCCUGGAGUGGCAGGACAAGGGACAAUGACUUCAAACUGACAGAGAGGGUUUAGAUUAUAUAUAAAGAAAAAAAUUCUUUACUGUAAGGGCUAUAACAGAUUGCCCAGAGAAGCUGUGGAUGCCCCGUCCCUGGAGGUGUUCAAGAUCAGGUUGGAUGGAGCUCUGAACAAUCUUUAAAUUUCAACUAGAAAAUGCUGUCAUUGGUCAGCUAAUGAUUUUCAGCAGCACUUCAUUAAAAAAAUAAAAAAAAACCUUAAA